rnacentral:rRNA from 1 species
UACCAGCACCCCGAGUGGUCGGGACGUUUAUUGGGCCUAAAGCAUCCGUAGCCGGCCUUACAAGUCCUCCGUUAAAUCCAGCUGCUUAACAGAUGGGCUGCGGAGGAUACUAUAAGACUAGGAGGCAGGAGAGGCAAGCGGUACUCAGCGGGUAGGGGUAAAAUCCGUUGAUCCAUUGAAGACCACCAGUGGCGAAGGCGGCUUGCCAGAAUGCGCUCGACGGUGAGGGAUGAAAGCUGGGGGAGCAAACCGG